rnacentral:rRNA from 1 species
GGAGUCUGGGCCGUAUCUCAGUCCCAAUGUGCCCGAUCACCCUCUUAGGCCGGGUAGCUAUCGUCGCCUUGGUGGGCCGUUACCCCGCCAACAAGCUAAUAGCCCGCGGGCCGCUCUCUCGGUGCAGCAAAAGCUGCUUUCCUGCAUGGCCUCUAAAUCCAUGCAGCGUAUUCGGUAUUAUCUACUGUUUCCAGUAGCUAUCCCCAUCCAAGAGGUACGUCACCCACGCGUUACUCACCAGUCCGCCAUUCUAGGAUAAGAGCAAGCUCUUAUCUUGCCAUUCGACUUGCAUGCUUAAGACGCGCCGCCAGCGUUCGUU